UAAGGCCCUUGCAAAAUCCGAAGAGGCUCCUCAGAAACUAGCUGUCACGACAUCUGGUGAACAACUUAGCAGCGCAGAAAUGCAGCUACGCAUCAAGCUACUUCGAGAAAACAAAUGAGUAGGUGAAAUAUUAUCGUUUUAUGUGGUUCUAUAAUUCUUUGCUCUACAUGUUUGUUGAAGUGAGUUGCAGAGAUUGCAUAAGCAAUUUGUGCUCAGUGGUAUCUUGACAGAAGAGGAGUUUUGGUGUUAAGGAAGGCUGAUUCUAACUUACUUGGUAAAGAUCCUAGCAAAAAGUCGAGGCAACAGGUUGGACUGAAGAAUGUGAUGGGUCUCAGGCAUCAAACCGUCUAGUGAUGGACGGACUAAUAGGGUCACAUUUAACUUAACGCCGGAGAUUA